rnacentral:tRNA from 1 species
AAGGUUUUAAGUUAUUAAAACUAAUAGCCUUCAAAGCUGUAAAUAAAAUAUGUAUUUUAAACCUUA